AAGGUGGGGAUGACGUCAAGUCAUCAUGGCCCUUACGGCCUGGGCUACACACGUGCUACAAUUGUCGGUACAGAGGGUUGCCAAGCCGCGAGGUGGAGCUAAUCUCACAAAACCGAUCGUAGUCCGGAUCGCAGUCUGCAACUCGACUGCGUGAAGUCGGAAUCGCUAGUAAUCGCGAAUCAGAAUGUCGCGGUGAAUACGUUCCCGGGCCUCUGUACACACCGCCCGUCACACCAUGGGAGUGGGUUGCACCAGAAGUAGCUAGUCUAACCUUCGGACCGGUUACCACGGUGUGAUUCAU
rnacentral:rRNA from 1 species